UACAGAGGUGGCAAGCGUUGUUCGGAUUUAUUGGGCGUAAAGGGUCCGUAGGCGGCUCGUAAAGUCGGAUGUGAAAUCCCACAGCUCAACUGUGGAACUGCAUUCGAAACUCACGAGCUAGAGUAUGAGAUGGGUAAAGGGAAUUCCCGGUGUAAGGGUGAAAUCUGCAGAGAUCGGGAGGAACACCAGUCGCGAAGGCGCUUUACUGGCUCAUUACUGACGCUCAGGGACGAAAGCUAGGGUAGCAAACGGG
rnacentral:rRNA from 1 species